rnacentral:rRNA from 1 species
CCAGACUUCCUACGGGAGGCAGCAGUGGGGAAUAUUGCACAAUGGGGGAAACCCUGAUGCAGCGACGCCGCGUGAAGGACGAAGUAUUUCGGUACGUAAACUUCUAUCAGCAGGGAAGAAAAUGACGGUACCUGACCAAGAAGCCCCGGCUAACUACGUGCCAGCAGCCGCGGUAAUACGUAGGGGGCAAGCGUUAUCCGGAUUUACUGGGUGUAAAGGGAGCGUAGACGGCCAUGCAAGUCUGAUGUGAAAACCCGGGGCUCAACCCCGGGACUGCAUUGGAAACUGUGCGGCUGGAGCGGCGGAGAGGCAAGUGGAAUUCCUAGUGUAGCGGUGAAAUGCGUAGAUAUUAGGAGGAACACCAGUGGCGAAGGCGGCUUGCUGGACGACGACUGACGUUGAGGCUCGAAAGCGUGGGGGGCACACA